rnacentral:rRNA from 1 species
GCUAACUUCGUGCCAGCAGCCGCGGUAAGACGAAGGAUGCAAGCGUUAUCCGGAUUCAUUGGGUUUAAAGGGAGCGUAGGUGGCCUUAUAAGUCAGUGGUGAAAUCUCUGGGCUUAACCCAGAAAUUGCCAUUGAUACUGUAGGGCUUGAGUAUAGUUGCCGUUGGCGGAAUAUGACAUGUAGUGGUGAAAUACAUAGAGAUGUCAUAGAACACCGAUUGCGAAGGCAGCUGACGAAACUAUAACUGACACUGAGGCUCGAAAGUGCGGGGAUCAAACAGGAUUAGAUACCCUGGUAGUC